rnacentral:tRNA from 1 species
AGUUAAUAAGCAUCUAAGCAUUAUGUUUUGAAAACAUAAGAAAGAAGUUCGAGCCUUCUAUUAACUU